rnacentral:rRNA from 1 species
GUAGGUGGCAAGCGUUGUCCGGAAUUAUUGGGCGUAAAGCGCGCGCAGGCGGUUCUUUAAGUCUGAUGUGAAAGCCCACGGCUCAACCGUGGAGGGUCAUUGGAAACUGGAGAACUUGAGUACAGAAGAGGAAAGCGGAAUUCCACGUGUAGCGGUGAAAUGCGUAGAGAUGUGGAGGAACACCAGUGGCGAAGGCGGCUUUCUGGUCUGUAACUGACGCUGAGGCGCGAAAGCGUGGGGAGCAAACAGGAUUAGAUACCCUGGUAGUCCACGCCGUAAACGACGAGUACUAAGUGUUAGGGGGUUUCCCGCCCCUUAGUGCUGCAGCUAACGCAUUAAGCACUCCGCCUGGGGAGUACGGCCGCAAGGCUG